AGCACUGUGGAACAGCGGAAGUUCGCUGGGCUCAUAACCCAGAAGCCGUAGGAUCGAAACCUACCAGUGCUA